rnacentral:rRNA from 1 species
AACGAACGCUGGCGGCAUGCCUAACACAUGCAAGUCGAAUGAGACCUUCGGGUCUAGUGGCGCACGGGUGCGUAACGCGUGGGAACCUGCCCUUAGGUUCGGAAUAACUCCCCGAAAGGGGUGCUAAUACCGGAUAAUGUCUUCGGACCAAAGAUUUAUCGCCUUUGGAUGGGCCCGCGUUGGAUUAGCUAGUUGGUAGGGUAAAAGCCUACCAAGGCGACGAUCCAUAGCUGGUCUGAGAGGAUGAUCAGCCACACUGGGACUGAGACACGGCCCAGACGCCUACGGGAGGCAGCAGUGGGGAAUAUUGGACAAUGGGCGAAAGCCUGAUCCAGCAAUGCCGCGUGAGUGAUGAAGGCCUUAGGGUUGUAAAGCUCUUUUACCCGGGAUGAUAAUGACAGUACCGGGAGAAUAAGCUCCGGCUAACUCCGUG